GCACGGUCAGCAAUGGCAGUGGCGGACGGGUGAGUAACACGUAGGAAUCUAUCCCAGGGUGGGGGACAACAGCGGGAAACUGCUGCUAAUACCGCAUGAUACCUGAGGGUCAAAGGCGCAAGUCGCCUUGGGAGGAGCCUGCGUCUGAUUAGCUUGUUGGUGGGGUAAAGGCCUACCAAGGCUACGAUCAGUAGCUGGUCUGAGAGGAUGAUCAGCCACAUUGGGACUGAGACACGGCCCAAACUCCUACGGGAGGCAGCAGUGGGGAAUAUUGGACAAUGGGGGAAACCCUGAUCCAGCAAUGCCGCGUGUGUGAAGAAGGUCUUCGGAUUGUAAAGCACUUUUGGCAGGGACGAUGAUGA
rnacentral:rRNA from 1 species